GACGAACGCUGGCGGCGUGCCUAAUACAUGCAAGUCGAGCGCAGGAAGCCGUCUGAACCCUUCGGGGGGACGACGGUGGAAUGAGCGGCGGACGGGUGAGUAACACGUAAAGAACCUGCCCAUAGGUCUGGGAUAACCACGAGAAAUCGGGGCUAAUACCGGAUGUGUCAUCGGACCGCAUGGUCCGCUGAUGAAAGGCGCUCCGGCGUCGCCCAUGGAUGGCUUUGCGGUGCAUUAGCUAGUUGGUGGGGUAACGGCCCACCAAGGCGACGAUGCAUAGCCGACCUGAGAGGGUGAUCGGCCACACUGGGACUGAGACACGGCCCAGACUCCUACGGGAGGCAGCAGUAGGGAAUCUUCCACAAUGGACGAAAGUCUGAUGGAGCAACGCCGCGUGAACGAUGAAGGCUUUCGGGUCGUAAAGUUCUGUUGUAAGGGAAGAACAAGUGCCGCAGGCAAUGGCGGCACCUUGACGGUACCUUGCGAGAAAGCCACGGCUAACUACGUGCCAGCAGCAGCCGCAGUAA
rnacentral:rRNA from 1 species